rnacentral:rRNA from 1 species
GAUGAACGCUGGCGGCGUGCCUAAUACAUGCAAGUCGAGCGAACGGACGAGAAGCUUGCUCCUCUGAUGUUAGCGGCGGACGGGUGAGUAACACGUGGAUAACCUACCUAUAAGACUGGGAUAACUUCGGGAAACCGUAGCUAAUACCGGAUAAUAUUUUGAACCGCAUGGUUCAAAAGUGAAAGACGGUCUUGCUGUCACUUAUAGAUGGAUCCGCGCUGCAUUAGCUAGUUGGUAAGGUAACGGCUUACCAAGGCAACGAUGCAUAGCCGACCUGAGAGGGUGAUCGGCCACACUGGAACUGAGACACGGUCCAGACUCCUACGGGAGGCAGCAGUAGGGAAUCUUCCGCAAUGGGCGAAAGCCUGACGGAGCAACGCCGCGUGAGUGAUGAAGGUCUUCGGAUCGUAAAACUCUGUUAUUAGGGAAGAACAAAUGUGUAAGUAACUAUGCACAUCUUGACGGUACCUAAUCAGAAAGCCACGGCUAACUACGUG